CUGAGAUGCAAAUUUAUUUUUAUUCUGCAGUUUGACAAUAACUUUUAUGGCCAUGGCCAGUUUCAUCUGAAAUGAUUGGUUCCAACUGAUCUAAGUGAAAGGAAAUGCUUUAGAGUUUUGCACAAUGAACACUACCUCUCAGACAAUGAGUUGGCCCAUUCAUGUGGUCUGCUGGCCAAGUCCACCUCGUUUUAGCCAUAUAAUCAUGCAAAGGAUCUCUAGAGGCCCCACUCAGAUGAGCCCAGAGAAAACUGAAGAAGAGAGAGCCGGUCUUUAGUGGGCUCAGGCUGGGACCAUUGGCUCAGACAGGCCUCUCAGGACUUCAUAUCUCUGCACCGUCGCCUGUGCCUUUAGAUUUCAUCACUCUACACUAAUUUUCACAGCUGUACUGUAAAAUCCAUAGGAAACUCUCAGAAGCUACUGAAAAGGACCCACAUGACCAUGCUUUCUGGUUGGCACAAACAGAACUCUUUGAGAGCCCCAGGAUGGAGUUCAUGUAUAUAUCCAAAAUUUGUACUUUUGAAAGUCCAUCAAAUAAAAGGCAAAAACAUGUGUGAUCAAGAAAGCUAUAAACUGACUACGAAAGGGCAGAGACCUUGGCUGGGAAGCCACAGGAUGUGCAUGGAGUGAUUAUUGCCAGAACACGGAGCCGGACAUAUCACUCUUGUUGUUUCCUCACAUGAGCCCAGCAAGGUGCUGCUUUCUGUCAACUGCAUGAGCCAACCCCCACGGGAGCCUGCUCAAACAGAAAACGUAGAUAGUGUACGGGCCACUGUCAGCCCCCCUUCACACUGUGUUCUCCCUGGAAAUGAGAAUGGGACUGCAGCCAGGGUAGGGGUAGGGUGAGGAUGAAGGAGACCCAAUUGACUCUGAAACAGUUAAUAAGACUGGGCUCCAUGUGUCAAAAAGGAAUUUAUCACUAACACUAAAUGAUUCAUUACCACCAAAUGAUGACAUUUGUUUUUUUCUCUUUGUUAGAGUGAGGUAAGAAUGGGGCAGGAAAGAUCCUGGGUCUAAGAUUGGUUUCACUCAGAAACAGAUCUUAAGACAGUGAUUUGCUUUGGGAGGUCGAGGUGGGUGGAUCACAAGGUCAACAGAUGGAGACUAUCCUGGCCAACAUGGUGAAACCCUAUCUCUAAUAAAAAUACAAAAAUUAGCUGAGUGUGGUGGCGCACGCCUGUAGUCCCAGCUACUUGGGAGGCUGAGGCAGGAGAAUUACUUGAACCCGGGAGACAGAGGUUGCAAUGAGCCAAGAUCACACCACUGCACUCCAGCCUAGUGAUCGAGUGAGACUCCAUCU
rnacentral:lncRNA from 1 species